rnacentral:rRNA from 1 species
UACGAAGGGUGCAAGCGUUAAUCGGAAUUACUGGGCGUAAAGGGUGCGUAGGCGGUUCGUUAAGUCUGUCGUGAAAUCCCCGGGCUCAACCUGGGAAUGGCGAUGGAUACUGGCGAGCUAGAGUGUGUCAGAGGAUGGUGGAAUUCCCGGUGUAGCGGUGAAAUGCGUAGAGAUCGGGAGGAACAUCAGUGGCGAAGGCGGCCAUCUGGACGGUUUCUGACGCUAAGACGCGAAAGCGUGGGGAGCAAACAGG